AACAUAUUUCCACCGGAAUCUU
rnacentral:snRNA from 1 species